AUGCUACUCCCUCCGUCCGAAAAUACUUGUCAUCAAAAUAAAUAAAAGAGGAUGUACCUAAACAUAUUUUAGUUAUAGAUACAUCUCUUUUUAUUCAUUUUGAUGGCAAGUAUUUUCAGACGGAGGGAGUAUAUA
rfam:Triticum aestivum genome assembly, contig: Triticum_aestivum_CS42_TGACv1_scaffold_499396_6BL